GCGGGCGUGGCGGCAUUGGUAGACGCGCUGGUCAUAGGAAUCAGUGGGCUUCCCAUGUGGGUUCAAGUCCCACCGUUCGCACCA
rnacentral:tRNA from 1 species